rnacentral:rRNA from 1 species
AUUGAACGCUGGCGGCAUGCUUUACACAUGCAAGUCGAACGGUAACAGGCCGCAAGGUGCUGACGAGUGGCGAACGGGUGAGUAAUGCAUCGGAACGUGCCCAGUCGUGGGGGAUAACGCAGCGAAAGCUGCGCUAAUACCGCAUACGAUCUAUGGAUGAAAGUGGGGGACCGUAAGGCCUCGUGCGAUUGGAGCGGCCGAUGUCAGAUUAGGUAGUUGGUGGGGUAAAGGCUCACCAAGCCAACGAUCUGUAGCUGGUCUGAGAGGACGACCAGCCACACUGGGACUGAGACACGGCCCAGACUCCUACGGGAGGCAGCAGUGGGGAAUUUUGGACAAUGGGCGCAAGCCUGAUCCAGCAAUGCCGCGUGCAGGAAGAAGGCCUUCGGGUUGUAAACUGCUUUUGUACGGAACGAAACGGUCCUGGUUAAUACCCGGGGCUAAUGACGGUACCGUAAGAAUAAGCACCGGCUAACUACGUGCCAGCCGCCGCCGUAACAC